UACGAAGGGGGAGCUAGCGUUGCUCGGAAUCACUGGGCGUAAAGCGCACGUAGGCGGCUUUCUAAGUCAGGGGUGAAAUCCUGGAGCUCAACUCCAGAACUGCCUUUGAUACUGGAGAGCUUGAGUCCGGGAGAGGUGAGUGGAACUCCGAGUGUAGAGGUGAAAUUCGUAGAUAUUCGGAAGAACACCAGUGGCGAAGGCGGCUCACUGGCCCGGUACUGACGCUGAGGUGCGAAAGCGUGGGGAGCAAACAGGG
rnacentral:rRNA from 1 species